rnacentral:rRNA from 1 species
GUUGAACGCUGGCGGCAGGCCUAACACAUGCAAGUCGAGCGAAUGAAGGGAGCUUGCUCCUGGAUUCAGCGGCGGACGGGUGAGUAAUGCCUAGGAAUCUGCCUGGUAGUGGGGGAUAACGUCCGGAAACGGGCGCUAAUACCGCAUACGUCCUGAGGGAGAAAGUGGGGGAUCUUCGGACCUCACGCUAUCAGAUGAGCCUAGGUCGGAUUAGCUAGUUGGUGGGGUAAAGGCCUACCAAGGCGACGAUCCGUAACUGGUCUGAGAGGAUGAUCAGUCACACUGGAACUGAGACACGGUCCAGACUCCGACGGGAGGCAGCAGUGGGGAAUAUUGGACAAUGGGCGAAAGCCUGAUCCAGCCAUGCCGCGUGUGUGAAGAAGGUCUUCGGAUUGUAAAGCACUUUAAGUUGGGAGGAAGGGCAGUAAGUUAAUACCUUGCUGUUUUGACGUUACCAACAGAAUAAGCACCGGCUAACUUCGUG